rnacentral:tRNA from 1 species
GUUCAUAUCGUCCAGCGGUCUAGGACGCCAGCCUUUCACGUUGGUAACCGGGGUUCAAAUCCCCGUAUGAACA